UGGAUGACAAGCUUGUAUUUGCAAAUGUACACACCCUGUGGGAGGUGAUCUGUACAUACGCUGAGAUACUGUACAUAAAAUUGCCUCUGAAUCCCAAUCAUCUGAAAACCGUGUCCUCAGCCUUUGAUACCUUCAGCUGUUUUAUGAAAGUCCUCCAAGUGGAUGAAAGUAUCAACAACCGGAACAAGAGUUUUUCAUUGCCCUAUUUGAGAAGAGCUGCGUGAACGACUUUUAUAUUCAGGAUAGAGAUACAUUCAUCAAUCCAACCACCAGGAGCCGCACUGUAAGUCUAAACCGAGUUUAGCUGCUGUCUUGGGGGUGAUUUAGAACCUGCUGUUGAAUUAUAAGUGAUUUGGUUUUGUUGGUUUGGUUUGGUUUUUAAAAGCUGCCCAUAAAAAUGAAAAAAGAGAAAGAAAAGAAAUAUGCCUACAGAUUCCUGUUAGGAUAGUAAACAGUGGCUGGUUAUUUACCCUGUAUAAACCACACGCUUUCUUAGAAUCUAUUUAGGUUUACUUCAUCCUUUCUCAGAUCAAGUAUCAAGUAAGGGACAGUUUUAAAAAAAAAUUCAGGAUUAACUGGAUUGUGAGCUCCGGGAUCUGCAAGGCAGCUUUCCCUUCCCAUGGUGUAAGUCAAAUGGCAGAAAUGAAAUAAAGCACUUCAUGUAUCCUCCGGUGUUAACAGGAAAAGGUGAGUCUUCUUGACCUUGUUACUUCCUGGGUAAAAUGAAGAUAAUAUGUCAGGAGUCGACAAGCCCAUUUAGGGCAGGAACCAUGUUGUCUUGUUCACUGCUGAAUCCCAGGCACCAGGAAGGCUGAGUUUAACAAGUGGGUGAAUGAAUGAACUGUAUUUCCCCCAGAGUUACCAUGUGGGGCAGUGUGGAUUAGCAUCUAAGAACAUAGACACGAGAGGUGAGGGUACAGCUCAAGUGAUGGGGCGCAUGCUUAGCACGCAUAAAGUCCUGGGUUCAGCCCCCAACACCUCCUCUAAAAUAGACAAAUAACCCUAAUUACCUCCCCACCCCCCACCAGAAUUACCUUAUUAUCUCCCUGCCACCAAAAAAAAAAAAAAAAAAGGUAGAAGUGGCCAAGAGCAUAGACUCAGGCUGGAACACUUGUGCUGGUUUCUCGCUGUCUACCUUGUAAAAGUCAUUUAGCCUCUGUGUUUAUCAAGUUCCUCAUCAAUAAAAUGGGGAUAAUAAUAGUACCCACCUCGUAGAGAUGCUAUGGGGAUUAAUGAAUCUGCUUGAAUUUUAGAACAGCCCUGGCUAAUAGUAAGUACUAUGCAUUUGCCAGCUCUUUUCAUAAUUACUGACAGAUGUUAUUAUCAACCAAAGAAGUAUUAGUUCUUUGUAAGGGAAAUGCAUGUUAGACCAUUUCAUUUAUCAUUUUCUGUAAUUCAGGCUUUUUCCCUCUGAAAUACCAUUUUCUGUCUGUGCACUAGUAAAUCACAGGGCUUUCCAAAUUUCAUCUGUCUGAGUUCUUGUCAUGAUGACAAUACUGCAGAGUUUUGACAUUUUUUAGGGACUCCAUCUGAGAUGACAGCAACCCCUCAAAUUCAGAAGCACUUCUCUAACUGACAACAUCUCGCAUGAAAUGAAGUUUGUAAAAUUGCAACUUCAGCCUCCAUCAGAGGACCUCAGCUGCCCCAGCGAACAGGGCCUUCUGUACAGGGAAUGUGCUCCUCCUCGAAGCAUAGACAAGAAGCAGCCCUUAGAUCUCAUCAGAACCUGAAUGGAAGAGACCCAAUCCAGAAGUACCUGACUGUGCAGGUGGGCCACGCCCAUCACUGCUUCCCUCAUCAGUUUUAUCAUCAUCGUGACCCUGAACGCCAUAUAUGAGAAAGUGGCAAUCAAGAUGACUGAGUCUGUUAAGCUCCUUCUGCAGCUGAGGUCAUUUCUACACCAGUUUUAGAACCAGGUCAAAACAGAGACUUUAUCUUUUAGGCACUUCAAUUCCAGUACAUUACAGUCUUUAGAAAACUUCAAGUGUAAACGUAUUUUCUCUAGCCUAUAUGAGAAGUGAAUUAGCUGCAGCUUUGCAUUAGUAAAAGGGAUAAAGAAAGCUUUAGAAUGUCCAAGCUCUGUGUAAAUAUGUCAGUGCUUAAUAAUAAUUUCAAUUACAUUAG